rnacentral:rRNA from 1 species
AGCGAACGCUGGCGGCAGGCCUAACACAUGCAAGUCGAACGAACCUUUCGGGGUUAGUGGCGGACGGGUGAGUAACACGUGGGAACGUGCCUUUAGGUUCGGAAUAACUCAGGGAAACUUGUGCUAAUACCGAAUGUGCCCUUCGGGGGAAAGAUUAAUCGCCUUUAGAGCGGCCCGCGUCUGAUUAGCUAGUUGGUUGAGGUAAUGGCUCACCAAGGCGACGAUCAGUAGCUGGUCUGAGAGGAUGAUCAGCCACAUUGGGACUGAGACACGGCCCAAACUCCUACGGGAGGAAGCAGGGGGGAAUCUUGCGCAAUGGGCGAAAGCCUGACGCAGCCAUGCCGCGUGAAUGAUGAAGGUCUUAGGAUUGUAAAAUUCUUUCACCGGGGACGAUAAUGACGGUACCCGGAGAAGAAGCCCCGGCUAACUUCGUG